rnacentral:rRNA from 1 species
UACGGAGGGUGCGAGCGUUGUCCGGAAUCAUUGGGCGUAAAGGGCGCGUAGGUGGCCUGGUCAGUUCGUGGUGAAAGCGCGGGGCUCAACUCCGCGUCGGCCAUGAAUACUGCUGGGCUGGAGCACUGUAGAGGCAGGCGGAAUUCCGGGUGUAGCGGUGGAAUGCGUAGAGAUCCGGAAGAACACCGGUGGCGAAGGCGGCCUGCUGGGCAGUGGCUGACACUGAGGCGCGACAGCGUGGGGAGCAAACAGG